rnacentral:rRNA from 1 species
UACGUAGGGUGCGAGCGUUGUCCGGAUUUACUGGGCGUAAAGAGCGCGCAGGCGGUCGUUCAAGUCGCGUGUGAAAGCCCCCGGCUCAACUGGGGAGGGUCACGCGAUACUGAUCGACUCGAAGGCAGGAGAGGGUAGUGGAAUUCCCGGUGUAGUGGUGAAAUGCGUAGAUAUCGGGAGGAACACCAGUGGCGAAGGCGGCUUCCUGGCCUGUUCUUGACGCUGAGGCGCGAAAGCUAGGGGAGCAAACGGGG